rnacentral:rRNA from 1 species
CAGCCGCCGCGGUAAAACGGAGGGUGCAAGCGUUAUCCGGAUUUAUUGGGUUUAAAGGGUCCGUAGGCGGACUUAUAAGUCAGUGGUGAAAGCCUGUCGCUUAACGAUAGAACUGCCAUUGAUACUGUAAGUCUUGAGUAUAUUUGAGGUAGCUGGAAUAAGUAGUGUAGCGGUGAAAUGCAUAGAUAUUACUUAGAACACCAAUUGCGAAGGCAGGUUACCAAGAUAUAACUGACGCUGAGGGACGAAAGCGUGGGUAGCGAACAGGAUUAGAGACCCGCGUAGUCCCUGUCUCUUAUAA